AUAUAACUACAAACUAUCAGUACAAGUUAACUAAUUGAUGAUUUAAU
rnacentral:guide_RNA from 1 species